UCGACUAAUUACGCCUAGUAUAUCCCGAAGAACGAGGUCGCGCUCCUUUGACGUCACCAGGUGAGCGACUGUGAGAAGAAUGUCAUGGUAUUUCUCCUGCUCUCCUUCGUAUUUCUCUUAUAUAAGAUAACUGGUCCAAGUACUUCUUCCACCACUGCUGCCAUGAAGGCUCUUCUGGAAUUACUUCCCAGCAGCUCUCAGAGGUAUUGAACAUCCUUACUGCCGUGGGGACAAAACAUCUCCUGAACUACUCCGUUCUGCAGCAAAAUGAGAGGAGCCGAUUGCUACAGCUGUGUCUCUGCAGCUCCAGAAAGCUGUGGAGGGGGUGUUUGCCAUUGUCCAUUAUCACCUUCAGUUUAUUCAGUACAGCCGUGUCCACCACGGUCUUUAAUGGGUCCAGUCUCCCACCAAGCACUUGGCCUGGCCCUUAACCAGCUUAUCCAGUCGCCUAGUGUGUUUGUCCUUCAAACGGCCUCCCCACCACACUACUGCAUAAACAAGUGCAACCACAGUGUGAUUAAAAAAAAUGCUCAGCAUCUCAGCAGAUACUAUAGUAUGUGGUUAAAAAUGUGGCCUGACCCUCUCCUAAAAAACGUGCCUUACUAUGUUACGUGGUAAAAAUGGGGCCUGACCUUCUCCUAAAAAUCGUGCCUUACUAUGUUACGUGGUAAAAAUGGGGCCUGACCUUCUCCUAAAAAUCGUGCCUUACUAUGUUACGUGGUAAAAAUGGGGCCUGACCCUCUCCUAAAAAACGUGCCUUACUAUGUUACGUGGUAAAAAUGGGGCCUGACCCUCUCCUAAAAAACGUGCCUUACUAUGUUACGUGUUAAAAAUGGGGCCUGACCCUCUCC